GCUGUGCCAGGCGCUGGAUGCUGGGCGGCACCGUGAGUGCUGAGGGGAGGAGCUGGGGAGCGGCUGGGAGAUGGAUGGGAGCAGAAGGCCUCCAGGGAGGCUUUUAUCAGUGACUCUGCCCGUGGGUCAUUCCCUGCCCUCCCUGCCUGAAAGCCAUAGAGUGCUCAGAAAGAUUGAUUUUAGUUCUUCCAGUUGCUUCUAGCACGUGUGGAGGGAGGCGAUUUGUGGCACUGCUGGGGCUUCCUUGGCGUCCCCUUUUUGCCAGGUUGGAGCAUUUGACCUGGUGGCCAUUCACAGCAUGAUAUUUGCAAAGAGGUUAAAAAUUAAAAAAAAACCGAAACAAACAAACAAAAAAAACAAACAAACAAAAAAAACC